rnacentral:rRNA from 1 species
GCAAAUUACCCACUCCCGGCACGGGGAGGUAGUGACAAAAAUAACGAUACGGGACUCAUCCGAGGCCCCGUAAUCGGAAUGAGCACACUUUAAAUCCUUUAACGAGUAUCCAUUGGAGGGCAAGUCUGGUGCCAGCAGCCGCGGUAAUUCCAGCUCCAAUAGCGUAUAUUAAAGUUGUUGCGGUUAAAAAGCUCGUAGUCGGACUUGUGUCACACGCUGCCGGUUCACCGCCCGUCGGUGUCUAACUGGCAUGCACGUGCUGACGUCCUGCCGGUGGCCCAAGCCGGUCCGGGACCUCUGUGUGCGGGAUUCCCUCCGGGGGCCCGCCUCGAGCCCGGUCUCUGGGGAGGGCCUACUCAUACCCCUCGCGGUGCUCUUAACCGAGUGUCUCGAUGGGCCGGCACGUUUACUUUGAACAAAUUAGAGUGCUUAAAGCAGGCAGCAUCCGCCUGAAUACUGAGUGCAUGGAAUAAUGGAAUAGGACCUCGGUUCUAUUUUGUUGGUUUUCGGAAUCCCCGAGGUAAUGAUCAAUAGGGACAGACGGGGGCAUUCGUAUUGCGACGUUAGAGGUGAAAUUCUUGGAUCGUCGCAAGACGGACCGAAGCGAAAGCAUUUGCCAAGAAUGUUUUCUCUGAUCAAGAACGAAAGUUAGAGGUUCGAAGGCGAUCAGAUACCGCCCUAGUUCUAACCAUAAACGAUGCCAGCCAGCAAUCCGCCGAAGUUCCUCCGAUGACUCGGCGGGCGGCUUCCGGGAAACCAAAGCUUUUGGGUUCCGGGGGAAGUAUGGUUGCAAAGCUGAAACUUAAAGGAAUUGACGGAAGGGCACCACCAGGAGUGGAGCCUGCGGCUUAAUUUGACUCAACACGGGAAACCUCACCAGGCCCGGACACCGGGAGGAUUGACAGAUUGAGAGCUCUUUCUUGAUUCGGUGGGUGGUGGUGCAUGGCCGUUCUUAGUUGGU